GAUGAAGAACGUAGCGAAAUGCGAUAAGUAAUGUGAAUUGCAGAAUUCAGUGAAUCAUCGAAUCUUUGAACGCACAUUGCGCCCAUUAGUAUUCUAGUGGGCAUGCUUGUUCGAGCGUCAUUUCAACCCUUAAGCCUAGCUUAGUAUUGGGAAUCGACUUUACUGUCGUUCCUCAAAUUCAACGGCGGAUUUAUAGCAAUCUCUGAACGUAGUAAUUUUUUUUCUCGUUUUUGAAAUACUAUAAACCUCAGCCGCUAAACCCCCAAUUUCUUAUGGUUGACCUCGGAUCAGGUAGGAAUACCCGCUGAACUUAAGCAUAUCAAUAAGCGGAGGA
rnacentral:misc_RNA from 1 species